rnacentral:rRNA from 1 species
AAGGUGAGGAUGAUGUCAAGUCAGCAUGACCUUUAUAUCCAGGCGUACACACACGCUACAAUGGUCUGUACAAUGGGUAGCCAAGCCGCGAGGCGGAGCCAAUCCUGAAAGCAGGCCUCAGUUCAGAUUGCAGUCUGCAACUCGACUGCAUGAAGCCGGAGUUGCUAGUAACCGCAGGUCAGCAAUACUGCGGUGAAUACGUUCCCGGGUCUU